AUAGCUCAGUGGUGGAGCGCAUGCUUAGCAUGCAUGAGGUCCUGUGUUCAAUCCCCAGU
rnacentral:tRNA from 1 species